UUAUGCCUACUAUUUGAUGUAUAGAAUGAAAUCACGUGAUACUGUGCAAUUAGAGCAAAUGUUCACAGAGCAACAAUUCAUCGAUCCACGUCUUCUUUCUCCAUUUCAGAAACAAACAAAUCGACAGCUGUGUUCUUUAGCACUAGCUUCUCUGCCUUACUUCCUGAUCCGUAAACGUUUCAAAUUUCAAAUUUCAAAUUGAAAGGCUUCCCUGCCCUUAUUUCUAUAGCACAACCCUUAAAUCUCCAUGUCUGUGAAGCUUUUUAGACCCAUUAGAGCAUCACAGCCAUCACAAUCGACCCAAAUGGGUGUUUGUCGCCGGAGACAAGUCUCCGGGACUUGCCGGAGAGUUGUGUAGCCUCUGUUCUUGAGUACAUGGACCCACAAGAGAUCUGUAAAGUGGCUGUUCUUAAUAGGACUUUUCGGGGAGCUUCCUAUGCUGAUUUUGUAUGUGGCUUUCUUUUUGUACCCUAUAUUCUGGAUUCUUUGGGAAAUAUUAUACGCUCCCCUUCGCCUUUUUCUCGGGAUAUGCAAUCUUAUUGUGUUCAUAUUUAGCAAUGUAUAUGCUAUUAUUGGAGAUAUAUGGUUCUUUAUCAGUAGCAUCUUCCAGUUAGCUUCAACUGUAGAUGCUACGGUGAACGCAGAGGUUUUCUUGUGGCGCACUUUAUGGAAUCACUUUUUUCUCAGGUCUUUCGAGCUGUUCUGAGCAUCUUAAACGAUUUUGUUGCAUUCUUCACAGCCUGCAAUCGUCACCAACUAAGUUUAUAGGCAUGGACUUGCAGGAAUUCAAGUACCAAUGUACUGGGGAACAAAUUGUUUCCAUACAAGAAAAGUUAUAUACAAGCUUUCACCUGAUCAUAAUAUUACACACUGUUGCACAUACAUGUUCAUUGAGUUGCAUAUAUAGAUGUUAAUCAGUUCCAAAACUGUAAUUAGAAUCAACAUAGUGAGUGCUCCUUUUGAUUGGCUAAGCCGGCACACUAUCUGCCUUUUGAGUCUCAGCAUAUAUCCAUCUGCACGAUAUGGCCUCUCCCCGGUUAUGCUCCUACAACCGAAUACAAUCUUGUGUUUACCGACCAGUAUCAGUUUCUAAUGCUUUCCCAGGGAUCUUUAGAUGAACUUAAUAGCCAGCUGGAGGAGCCUUUACCUAUUAAUCAUUUCCGCCCCAGGUACCCUUAGUUAAUCAAGAGAAUGGAAUACCUGGCCAGAGCCGAAUAAAACACUGAUGAAGUUUCAAUCUGAUAAAAUCUUGCAACUGAGUACGAGGCACCAUGGAAAGGUUAAGCUCUGGAACCACUCAUUUCCUUCCUUUACAUUAAAUCUUCUUGCGGAUACGAAUUGUGAAAUAAUUUUCUUGAGGUCUACUUCGAACAAGGUCUGGUCUGCAACAAGGACUCAUUUGAUGGAUUUGGAGAGAUGAUAGGAGAUACCAUCCAUGUGGAGAAGGUGUUUGCUUCAUAUGCUGAAGCCAUAGCUUGAAUGUAUUAACAUUCAAUGCAGUCACAGUUUAUAUGAAGAAUAGCCGAGUGCAUCAAUAGAUAAAAAACUCUAAAGAUGAUUGUUAUUAUGUGAUAUAUCAAUCAAUUUCAUAAGGCACAACUUUCUUGACAAAAGAAAUAAAAAAAUCAAGCCACAACUUCAGAAUGUUAUUUUGGUUUUAAAUUUUCAAGAGUGAAUUGUUCAGUCAGUUCAUUGUCCCUGAUAUU